AUGGAAGGGCCAUCGCUCAACGGAUAAAAGGUACUCCGGGGAUAACAGGCUGAUACCGCCCAAGAGUUCAUAUCGACGGCGGUGUUUGGCACCUCGAUGUCGGCUCAUCACAUCCUGGGGCUGUAGCCGGUCCCAAGGGUAUGGCUGUUCGCCAUUUAAAGUGGUACGCGAGCUGGGUUUAGAACGUCGUGAGACAGUUCGGUCCCUAUCUGCCGUGGACGUUUGAGAUUUGAGAGGGGCUGCUCCUAGUACGAGAGGACCGGAGUGGACGAACCUCUGGUGUUCCGGUUGUCACGCCAGUGGCAUUGCCGGGUAGCUAUGUUCGGAAUAGAUAACCGCUGAAAGCAUCUAAGCGGGAAACUAGCCUCAAGAUGAGAUCUCACUGGGACCUUGAGUCCCCUGAAGGGCCGUCGAAGACUACGACGUUGAUAGGUUGGGUGUGUAAGCGCUGUGAGGCGUUGAGCUAACCAAUACUAAUUGCCCGUGAGGCUUGACCAU
rnacentral:ncRNA from 1 species